rnacentral:lncRNA from 1 species
UCUGGAGAGAGGAGUGUGGUCUAGAUCCCUGUAGUGUCUGCUCUGGAGAGAGGAGUGUGGUCUAGAACCUGUAGUGGCUGCUCUGGAGAGAGGAGUGUGGUCUAGAACCCUGUAGUGUAUUCUCUGGAGAGAGAGUGUGGUCUAGAUCCCUGUAGUGUCUGCUCUGGAGAGAGGAGUGUGGUCUAGAACCCUGUAGUGUCUGCUCUGGAGAGAGGUGUGUGGUCUAGAACCCUGUAGUGUCUGCUCUGGAGAGAGGCGUGUGGUCUAGAACCUGUAGUGUAUUCUCUGGAGAGAGGAGUGUGGUCUAGAACCCUUAGUGGUAUUCUCUGGGGAGAGGAGUGUGGUCUAGAACCCAGUAGUGUAUUCUCUGGAGAGAGGAGUGUGGUCUAGAACCCUGUAGUGUAUUCUCUGGAGAGAGGAGUGUGGUCUAGAACCCUGUAGUGUCUGUCUGGAGAGAGGAGUGUGGUCUAGAA